rnacentral:tRNA from 1 species
GGGUGUGCACCGAAGUUGGAGGGUCGGGGCGGACUGUAAAUCCGUUGUCUUAGACCGAGUAGGUUCGAAUCUUACCACUCCCACCA